UUAGGGUCUGGCGGCCGGAAGAUGUCGCGCUGUACGGAAAGGUAGGGCCCCUCUCCAGGUAGCCAAUAACACUUAGUUUAUGAGGUAAGCGGACGGAAGUGACGUCAUAAACCCAAGCUAUAUAAUGCCGUGUCACUCACAAAUAAACGCCAUUUGCCGUCCACCACAUUGGUGUACGUGAGCUGAUGGCCCGAGCGGCCUGGGGUUGGUCGCCGUGCCGUUCCUGAACCAGGUCGCCACGCCAACGAAAGGCAACAAGUGGUGCCGAAACCCGGGAUUCGUCGCCUGGACAGGUGAACGGCGGCCGGAGCGGCAGGACCAGCCCGGCGGGGAGGACGCUCCCGGACCAACAAGGAUGAUGGAAGCCCUUGUGAAGGACCACAUCAUCGGACGUCCUCGUAACCCGUACACCCCAGUGGCAAGAGAGGACGACAAAUCGACAAGCAUCUUGUCCGCACCUGGAAGCUCCACACUGGCAGAAUCCAAACGAUGGCAACAUAGCUCCCAAAAGGGGGGGCUACGUUGCCUCUGCGUGAUCUUGAUUUUAGAGCUUGUCACUGUAAGACAGGUAGGAUCAGAGCACCAUCCCCACCAGCCAUUCAAAUGGUCCCUCCUUCGAUUUGAGGAUCAGCAAAUUAUCGCAACUCAAAUAACACCAGGUGCGCCGA